AAAUUCACCUGUGACCGCUCCCACUUUCUUGCUGCCACCCGGUUACACCUCUUUUCUGGUCCGCUCUGUCCCCUUCGAAGCUUCAGAAGCUCAUUUGUAACCAUCAAAAAUCGUUGACUAUUUUAACCCCUUUAAAACUGGUAUGGUGGUUAUUACUAGAUCAGGAAGUUCAUAUGAAUUAAGUGAGCAUCAACUUACAUGUAGGAAGCUAAAAUAUGGAGUGGCACCAGUAAGUACAGUGCAGACUAACUACUGAGUCUGAGUGCACCAGUAGUGGCCUUAGUCUCGCUAGCCAGACCAUUCCCCAGCCUACAGUCCACCCCAAUGACUGUAGGCUGGGGAAUGGUCUGGCUAGCGAGACUAUAGUGGCCUUGGACUGCAGGGACUAACUACUGAGUGCACCAGUGACCAGUAGUGGCUUUGGACUGCAGGGAUCGGCAUUUUCUUCCACUUUACUGCGGAGAAACUGCUUCUGAAAUUGCCACUAGAUGGUAAGAGGACUGUGAAAAACUAAGAAUAGUGACAUCUUGUGUUACAGAGCUAAAAUGAUGCCGGAAGGUGGCACCACCCAUGAAUGACUCAUCUGUGUGGUAUAGAGGACAUGGCUGAGUUGGAAAAAUGUAGUAUUACAACUGUAUGCAUAUUUCUAAUAGCAUUAAUUAAUUUUGCAAAACUGUUAGUCUAAUGACAAUUUCUCUUAUUAAUCGAUAAAAUUUGGCCUAUGACCUAAGGCUAUAGCCUUACAUUGUUAGCCCAAUUUUUG